AUAUAUCAUAUUAUUUUGAAUUAGACUGUUGUCAAAAUGAAUGUCUGCGUUAAAAUGUUUUUGUUUCCUUUGGAUGUUUGUAGUAAGUGGCGUGUCAAAUUGCCCUUGUCUCAAGACAUCAAAUUGGGUUCCCCGCAAGGAACAGAUUGAAAGUUACAUGAUACAAAAAGCACCCGUCUGUCAUAUUGAUGCAGUUUUAUUUAAAACAGUCAGUGGUCGUUUCAUUUGCGCCGAUCCACUAAAGGCUAGGAGGGAAAUACCCAUGGAAUUUGUGGACAAGAAGAAGAAGGCAGUUAAAAUGACAGCACAUCCCAUAAACGCUGCACCAACAUUUACAACAGCAUCAACACCGGAUACAGCAUCAGACUGGAAUGGACAGGAUGAACUAAGAACUACUGAACCUGAGCUAUUAGAAUUUGUUAACACAUCAAUUGCCCGUUUACUUUGCACUUGUUUGAAGACGUCGGAAGCUGUUCUCCACAAGGAAGAUAUCAAAAGUUACAAGAUACAUAAAGCAGACAUCUGCCAUAUUGAUGCCAUUGA